UACGAAGGGGGCUAGCGUUGUUCGGAAUUACUGGGCGUAAAGGGCGCGUAGGCGGUGUGUCAAGUCAGGCGUGAAAGCCCCGGGCUCAACCUGGGAACAGCGCUUGAGACUGGCACGCUCGAGUUCGGGAGAGGAUGGUGGAAUUCCCAGUGUAGAGGUGAAAUUCGUAGAUAUUGGGAAGAACACCGGUGGCGAAGGCGGCUAUCUGGACCGACAUUGACGCUGAGGCGCGAAAGCGUGGGGAGCAAACAGG
rnacentral:rRNA from 1 species